UGAGUCGGCACUCGUAUCGAUGACAAAGUCGUGGCAGCCAAAUGCGACAAGUCUUGAACAGAAAUCUUGCAA
rnacentral:rRNA from 11 species